AUGCUCACUUCGGCAGCACAUAUACUAAAAUUGGAACAAUUUUGGCAGAGAUUGGUAUGGCCCCUAUGCAAGAAUGACCUAGAAAUUCAUGAAGCAUUCCAUAUUUUU